rfam:Canis lupus familiaris chromosome 16, whole genome shotgun sequence.
AGCUUUGUGCAGUGGCAGUAUCAUAGCCAAUGAGGUUUAUCCGAGGUGCAAAAUUCACUAAUUGAAAACUUAAAAGAACAAUUGCAUUGGAUAAUAUUCGCAUUUUGGUGCUUUUUAUGUUUAUAUUUAAA